CUGCGCUGUUGAUUUUACUAUUAUUGAUGCGGUUGUAGAUGAACUUAUUGGUGAUAAUGAUGAUUUCUGUAUCAACCCCUCGAUAAUACUGCAGUUCUUAUUAUUGAUUAUUAAUGAACAUUUCUUAUUAUCUUCUUUUGCAUUUUGUUGUUUUAAAACACACAUUUUGUCAAAAAUUAUAUUAUCGAAUGUAUAAAUUUUCGCAAUCAAUUCGAACUAUACUAUGAUAACCUCACUACGCUAGCGAUUCAGACGUCAUAAGUUUGUGAUAAAUACGAUUGUGGUUGCUAACAGAAAGAACCUGAUAAUAAUUUGCUCAACAUGUUUCAAAUUAUUAAGAAAUUUGUUGCUGACCUACAUCAGUAAUGAGACAGAUAUUACCAAUCCUAUAUUUGCUUGCUUACUAUUGUUACCCGAUACAUAGAAGGACAAUAAUGAAGAAAAAAGUUGCAGUUUGUUCCAGUAUGAAUAUUUAUUUGAGAUUCGUCGAAUGUUAUUCCGCACGUGGAAGAGAUUUCUCUAAGCGAUUAUGCUAAGUCACACAACUGUCGACUUUAUUACUAACAUUAUCAUUAAAUAUAUGGGCCAUGUACAAUUUUAUGAUAACAAUAUAAGCGAGAACCGAAUGCAGUGGCGUGAAACAUGAUUCGCAACACAACAUCUGUGUUUCAGUAAUAAGUUUGCAUAUAUAUAUAUAUAUAUAUAUAUAUAUAUUUAUCUAUAUAGGUAGCUAGGUAUACAUAGAUAGAUACAUAGAUGGGCAGAUAGACAGAGUGACAGAUAGAUAUAUUGAUAGAGAGAGAGAGAGAGCUAGCUAGCUAGCUAGAUAAAUAGAUAGAUAGAUAGAUAGAUAUAUAGAUAGAGAGAUAGAUAAAUAGACAGAGAGAUAGAUAGAUAGAUAGAUAGAUAGAUAGAUAGAUAGAUAGAUAGAUAGAUAGAUAGAUAGAUAGAUAGAUAGAUAGAUUAGUGAGGGAAAGAUAUUGAAAAACAUCAAAGCAUUUGUUUAUAUACGACAGCAUUUAUAUACAGUUCAUUCAAUGAAAAUACUUGAAAGCAACAUUUGGAUGAUAACAGAAGUAAGGUAUCAAUGCAUAUAUUCACUACAACUAACUUUUAUAUAUAAUCUUCAGAGAAGACGAAAAUAUCGGUAUCACAGAGACUGAUGCGUUAAUCGGAUUUUCUUGAAAACAUCCUUAUAAAGUUUAGAUGAAGCAGCACUCGAAACUUUUAAUAGUAUAUUUCAUUUAAAUAAACGAAUCAGUUACAAGAAAAGAAUAGUGUGAUGCUGAGAGUAUUUAUAAAUUCAUUGAUAACAAUCACGUAAUAUGAUUAUCUCACUAAUAUUUACAGAAUAUAUAAAGCCGUAUGUAAAAGCAAUUCACUAAAGUAAACUAACAAAAAGGAAAACAACAUGGAUAGCAAUCAAAAUAUCAAGAUAAAUUGAACAUAAUACUAACACAAUAUCAUUAUGUAGUAGAAUCGUCGUACACGGCAUUCGACAGAAUGGACAGCGUAGCAGGUGUCCGAGUUUCCUUCCUUUCUGCUUCAACAAACGAUGCUCAAAUAUUGUAGAAAUUUCUCGUGGCAAAGGAAGCAGAAACGUCGAAACUUCCGGUUCUGCGUUUGCCAACAGAAAAUUAUUAUUUGCUUCAAGCCAAGUGACUGUUCACCAUUAAUCAUUUCACUAUGGAAUUAAAUUUGCUUCGAGGAGAAAAAGUUUAAAUAUGUCACGGGGGACAAAAGCUAUUUAUUAAAACUUUGUAAUGUUUGAGCUUCAAGUAAUAGUUUCUAUGGAUUGCAAUGAAGGUCAAACAAUAUCCUGUAUUUAUUGAUGCGAUUAAAUAGAUGAGAGAAAACAAAUAACAUCAAAUCUUUUCUUUAUAAUAAUUCUUUUUCCCUGUCUUUGUUUCAUUGAGAUUUAUUUAUUUAUUAGUUUCAUCUUGAUGAAAAACCAAAUUACAAAAUCAAUAUUGCAAAAGGUCUAGAUGAAAGCGACUAAUCAGGAAAUAUUCAUCAGAAGAUAUUAAAAUAAAUAGUAUGACAAUUAAUAUAAACGAAAAUACAAUAAAAACCUUUAAAAUUGUCUCUCUUAUAAAGUUUUUCAAUAACGUACACUAUACAAAUUGCUAAAUUUAUUACUCGAUAGUGUCUUACUUACAUUCAUUCAAGGCAAAGUUUCAUUCUAUGCACUGUAAUGAUUAUUCCGGUGCACAAAUAUGCUUUAAUAUUUUAACCCACGUUGUACAACAUUUGCACAAAUGAAUUUCUUAUUCGAAUUACAUCUAUUUCUUAACGGCAAAUGUAAUUUACUAUUAACUAAAUUUUAUAGGAAUGCAAUAUAAUUUUUCAUUUUCUAAUUAUGCGAUGUUUAAUAUCAAAUAAAUAUCAAAUGCAGAACAAAGAAAAGUCACUAUAAAUAACUGAUUUUUACCAGCUAGGUAAAUUUAUGUUAAAGAAAAUGGCGUGCAUUGUAUGUCCGCCAUUUUCGUAUUCAAAUGAAAUACGUAUGCAUGUCAAACUUUCAGUAUAGGAAAUUAUAUGCUUGUGAAGUACGAAACCAGAAACUUGAUUUCAAAAUCAAAAUUGGAUUUCAACUGCGAGAUGCAUGUUAAUUUUGUCAGUUAAGAACAAGUAACGUUGCAGAAUACGAACAUCAAUGGGCAGAAUAUUAUAACGUAAAUAUUUCAAUAAGAACGAUACUGCUGAAAAAGUAGAUAUGAAAUACUGUUGACAUAAUAGUAAAUCCAUAUGGCAAUAUACUUAUGAUCCAAGCCUUACAAAAGAAUGUUCUCAGUUUUCUUCAAAAUGGAUAUGCUUUAGUGUACAUUGAAACUAUUGAGCUAUUUUUCAUAUUCGAAACUUCCUAAGGUACUUAUAACCUUAUCACUUCUUAGUAUGCUGUAACAUUUUCCGUUUUGCAGACGAUUCUGAAGUCGGUAUUUUUACCCAACAUAUAACAAGCAUUCGCUGUUGUCUAUGCGAAUAGUAACAAUGUCAGCUAAAGAAACUUUGUAAAUUUUGUAUCGAUCUGUUCUCACGCAUUAUUAUUAUUUUUUUGUACUUCUCUUGAAUCGCUCAUUAUUUUUAUCAUGUAAUUUAAACUUACAAAAAAAUGUUAUUAUGAUGCUAUGAUUUCAUAUACGUAGAUAUAAUACUCAUUUCUAAUUCUGAAACGAAACAACACUUUUAUUAUGGUCGAAGCAGAAUAAUAAAAAAUUAUAAAUGAUUUAAUGAAUUUCAUUUUCUUAUGUGUAUACACCAGAAAAACUAUAAAUUGUAUUGAUGUUAUUUUUUCAGAAAGUUAACGUAUAUUUUAAUUUCGAUUAUAGAAAACUGAUCAAAUGAAAGAAAUGAAAAAAAGUAUCUUAAAGUAUUCUGUACCCUUCCAGAAAUGAUUAGUGUUCUAUUCUCAAUGGAGAUCUAACAAUAGUAGAAAAUCCAUACGUGAUAUAAAAUUCAUUUGCACAAUACAAUUAAAAUUUAUCCCUAGAAAUGUGUGCAUAUGAAAGUGAAUAUUGUAAUUUGCUUUAUAUAUUAAACUGCAGUAUUAACGGUUUUAUUUUUCUUUCAAUAUUCAUUUCCAGCAAGUAUAGCUUUAUGUGAUGAAAACGAGUAUCGUUUGGUGCGGGAUUUAAUGAAAAAUUACAACAAGCAAGUUCGGCCAUCGUCAAAUUUCUCAGAGGCUCUUAAUGUGACCUUCGGAGUGGCACUGGCACAAAUUAUUGAUGUGGUAAGUAUAC
rnacentral:lncRNA from 1 species